rnacentral:rRNA from 1 species
UACGUAGGGUGCAAGCGUUGUCCGGAAUUAUUGGGCGUAAAGAGCUCGUAGGCGGUUUGUCGCGUCUGCUGUGAAAACUCAGGGCUUAACCCUGAGCCUGCAGUGGGUACGGGGCAGACUAGAGUGUGGUAGGGGAGAUCGGAAUUCCUGGUGUAGCGGUGGAAUGCGCAGAUAUCAGGAGGAACACCGGUGGCGAAGGCGGAUCUCU